rnacentral:misc_RNA from 1 species
GAUGAAGAACGUAGCGAAAUGCGAUAAGUAAUGUGAAUUGCAGAAUUCAGUGGAUCAUCGAAUCUUUGAACGCACAUUGCGCCCGCCAGUAUUCUGGCGGGCAUGCCUGUUCGAGCGUCAUUACAACCCUCAGGCCCCCGGGCCUGGCGUUGGGGAUCGGCGGAGCCCCCCGUGGGCACACGCCGUCCCCCAAAUACAGUGGCGGUCCCGCCGCAGCUUCCAUCGCGUAGUAGCUAACACCUCGCGACUGGAGAGCGGCGCGGCCACGCCGUAAAACACCCAACUCUUCUGAAGUUGACCUCGAAUCAGGUAGGAAUACCCGCUGAACUUAAGCAUAUCAAUAAGCGGAGGA